AGUGAACGCUGGCGGUAGGCCUAACACAUGCAAGUCGAACGGCAGCACAGUAAGAGCUUGCUCUUACGGGUGGCGAGUGGCGGACGGGUGAGGAAUACAUCGGAAUCUACUUUUUCGUGGGGGAUAACGUAGGUAAACUUACGCUAAUACAGCAUACGCCCUACGGGUGAAAGCAGUGGAUAUUUGGGCCUUGCGCGAUUGAAUGAGCCGAUGUCGGAUUAGCUAGUUGGCGGGGUAAAGGCCCACCAAGGCGACGAUCCGUAGCUGGUCGGAGAGGAGGAUCAGCCACACUGGAACGGAGACACGGUCCAGACUCCUACGGGAGGCAGCAGUGGGGAAUAUUGGACAAUGGGCGCAAGCCUGAUCCAGCCAUACCGCGUGGGUGAAGAAGGCCUUCGGGUUGUAAAGACCUUUUGUGGGGAAAGAAAAGCAGCAGGUUAAUACCCCGCUGUUCUGACGGUACCCAAAGAAUAAGCACCGGCUAACUUCGUG
rnacentral:rRNA from 1 species